UACGUAGGGACCAAGCGUUGUUCGGAUUUACUGGGCGUAAAGGGCGCGUAGGCGGCAAUUCAAGUCAUCUGUGAAAUCUCUGGGCUUAACCCAGAACGGCCAGGUGAUACUGCUUUGCUAGAGUGCGGAAGGGGCAAUCGGAAUUCUUGGUGUAGCGGUGAAAUGCGUAGAUAUCAAGAGGAACACCUGAGGUGAAGACGGGUUGCUGGGCCGACACUGACGCCGACAGCGCGAAAGCCAGGGGAGCAAACGGG
rnacentral:rRNA from 1 species